rnacentral:tRNA from 1 species
GCCCUGCUGGCCCAAUGGAUAAGGCGCCACCUUCCUAAGCUGCAGACUCCGGGUUUGAUCCCCGGGUAGGGUA